rnacentral:tRNA from 2 species
GGACUUAAUUGGAUUGAGCCUUGGUAUAAUCCGUCGAUUUCAAAAAUCAUGAGGGUUCAAGUCCCUCUAUCCCCA